UCAAAAUAUCAUUCCCUUUACUAUGGUAUGAAUUGAAACCUUUAUCUCCACUUCUACAGAGGUAUUUUUAACCGUUUGAACGAUUUUAGUGGGAAUUUCCAUUUUGAACUAUAGCCCAAUUUUAGUGAGUGGAGAUCAAAAGGCAAUGGCGUAGAAUUUGAAAGGAGACAAAACACAAAUAUGGUUAUCAAGCAUUGAAUAUGCUAUUCAAUGGUUUGGAGACUUUGAAAGUUGCAGGGACCACAAUAGCAUAUUUCUCUGGAUUGAGGAUUCUAACUAUAUCCAUAUCCUCCAAUCCCGUCCAAUCUUCUAUCUCUUGCUCAAUCAACGAAGUUUAGGACUUUGAACGAAGUGGAAGAGUUGAAGAUAUUGAACUAUCAAGUUCAUAUAUGUUUGUCUCUUGUUUGUCCGAUUUAAUUAACUUAGAUCCUUUCGAGUUCUCUCUGCAAUGCCAGGAACCAUCCUGGUCUCAGUUCUGGAAUUCAUGGGUCUUCCAUCAUCUUCAACGUCCAUAAAGGUUUCCCUAGGGAAAACAGAGCACCUAAUCAGCGAGAAGGGAGACUUUUCGUUCCCAUUAAAUAGUCUUCGUGAUGAUUUCAUUGUCAAACUUCAGGAUGCUGAUGGGAAUGAGAUAUCUCGUACAGGAUUUCAUACGAAGCCAAUUGUUGAGAAAGGUGUUUGGGAAGACAUCUUUCCCCUCGGGCAUGGACACCUGCGUUUGAAGCUGCAGUUCAUCCUCAAUGAUGAAGACCGUGACAGGAUUCGUAUGAUGAGACAAUCUGCAUUGAAGAAGAAACAUGAUGAACUUCUCGGAAGCAGUCCCACGGGUGCAGAAAGUGGUAGUACUUCUGUUGGCAAUGCUGCAUUAACCUUCAGGAAUGAUGAGGUCUCAGAAUCUCCAAAAAGAUACCUACAGCUUGAAGCCGUUUCUCAAGGGAAGAGUCCUGUUGGUUUCCAAACUGAGGAAAAAACUGCCCCUAAAAAUGUAUUGGGGGCUAAGCCUCAUCUGAUGCAGCUACACCCAAACAGUGCAGUUCAAUAUAAGGAGAUCUCAUCGAACAAACCUAUGUCAGAGGCAUUUGAUCUCAUUAAAUUACUAGAAAAGGGUUUAAUUAAGGAGCCUUCUUUUGGUUCACCAUUUUCAAAAGAUCCUCAGAGUGCUAUUAAUUCUGAGGAAGUAACAAUUUCAUUUAGAAGCUCAAAUCAGAAUGAAGUUGCAGAGAAUAAUCUGAUGCAGUCUAAUCCCAGCAGUGUGAGGAAAAUGAUUAGCGCCUUUGAAAUGCAAACUGGUCUUGCUCAGGACAUGAGAUCUCAUAUCAAAUCACCUCCAACAGAACAUCAAUCAAGUAUAGUUGAAAGAAAAGCUUCUUCCAAGGCUCAGCACUCAAGGAAAGGGCCUGUAGGCUUGUUACAAGGAAAAUCAAAAGAUAGCUCUCUGGCAAGAGAGUUGAAACAAGCCCAAUUAUAUAAUGGAGGAAGUAGAGCGCCACGUAAUUCACUUAGCCAUGGGAAGGAAUUACUGAACGAACAAACAGAUUCUAAUUCCAGGAAUAAAUUCAAGCUAUCACAUAAAUCAGAUGGAAAGGAAGAGAAAUAUGGCAAAGAUUUUGGGAGAACGUUUGCAUUUGAGGCAGUUAAAGAUUCAUGGAAGAUGCCUGAGAAGCAUUCGGAUAGAAAUCAUCUUAGCAAUCUAUUUGAUUCCAGGCAAGAUUCUAGAAGCAACCCAAACAAAGAAGAAAAAAGGGAAAAUGCCUUUCAAAGUUCACGUGAAUUAUGUAUCAAGAGGGGUUCACCAUCUAAAUUGAAUUCAGGGGUACACCUUGAUAAUAAUUAUUGCCCUUUUGAAUGUUCUGGGGCAUGGAUAUUCCCCGAGGAACCAAGAAAGUUCUGUCUGACAACUGGUGGUAAAAAUGUAAUGGCCUUAUUGGAAAGUCUGGUUAGAAAGCGCAUAAACCCUGAAAGAAGUUUGGAUUCCUCAAUAUUAGAAAAUAUGGAAAAGAAUGCAGCAUAUAUUGGGCCUGGAGCUGAAGUGAAACAUGCGAAGAUAGAUGAGACCAAAGAGUCAAAGUCUAAGAACACUGGUGGUAAUGCAGAUGAAGUUUCAGGAAGACCCGUUAAACAGGUCGUAAUCAUUUUUCGUUUAGCAGCUUUCACUUCUUUAUUUCAAAGAAGUAAUACUCUCUGCUGCCUCAUCCUUCUUUAGUUCGUCACUGAGCUUGGAUCUGUAAUAAUGCAUUCAUCCAGUUAUUGUCUUUUAGAUAUAAUAGUACACUCUUUAAGAAGAAUAAAACAUGUUGCAAUCUCUAUUCACUUGAGCAACUUCGUGCAGAACAUUAAGAGACAUAUGAGUUAUGAUACAGCGAAAAGCAAUGUCAUGAUUGCUUUAUGGUUAGGUCAAACGAGUUUUAAGAAAUGGUAUGGAUUGAUUAGUAUGACAGGGAUAGAAUUACUGUUCUAUUCAAGGUGAUUCGUCAUGCAGUAGGCCUUUUUUGUGAGCAAUAAAUUACUGAGACUCAUGUUUAUCCUUUUAAGAUUUGACUAUUUGCAAAGUACCAAUGUCUUUGAUUGCAAGGACACGGAUCGCUUCCUGCUCAUUUACAAGUUAUAUAUAAAAAUAUUAAGCCUUUAAAUAGUUUGUUUAAGGAUUUCAAGGUGUUUUUUAAUUGCUGAUACUUUGGAUACUGGGAAUGUGUCUAAUUUUCAGAAUGAUAUUUGGUUUCUUAUGGAAUUUACUUUUACAUAUAUACUUUUGGAGAAAAAAAAAAAAAAGUCCUGCACUCGGCCAUUGUUGAAUGCUUAUCUGCCCUUUCCCAUCUUCAUCUCUCAGCUAAUAAAAGGUGCAAUCAUUAUUGGGUUUGGAAUAUUUGUUCUCCUCACAAGACAAAGAAAAGGCAGAUAAAGGCUGGUUUUGGAAGUUCAAGUUGCAGCAUAUGAAGGGAUUCAAUCAUCCAAAAUCUCAUCCUGGGUUUUCUGUGAC